rnacentral:lncRNA from 1 species
CUUGAGGUCAGGAGUUCGAGACCAGCCUGGCCAACAUGCUGAAACUCCGUCUCUACUAAAAAUACAGAAAUUAGCUGGGCGUAGUGACGUAUGCCUGUAAUCCCAGCUACUUGAGAGGCUGAGGCACGAGAAUCACUUGAACCCAGGAGGCAGAGGUUGCAGUGAGCUGAGAUCACACUGUUGCACUCCAGCCUGGGUGACAGAGCGAGACUCUGUCUCAAAAAUAAUAAAAAAUAAAAAUAAAAAAACAGAAUAAAAUAUCAGUGCAUUUCACAUAGUAAAGGUAAGAAUUGUGGAAGUUUUGUUGGUGUGUGUAUGUAGAUGAUAUUUAAUCUUCAGACUGAGACAUGUUUGAGCAUGAAAGUGGCUGUUAAUAUAAUUACUCUGGGACCAACGCUGUAAUCUAGAAUUGUCUCCAGCCAGCCAAGACACAUGGUCACCUCUAUGUUUGUACUCAGUCAGCAUAUAAAAUGUAUUAUAGACAUUUCAAUAGUUGCCCAGCUUUGUCCCUGGCUUUCACGCUCCCAUUCCCCCAAUCUGUCCUCCACACAACUUCAUGAACUGUCUGAAAUAUAAAGCUUACCACACUGCAUCCUUACCCAGAACUCUUCAAGGAAGCCCCGUGGCCUACAGCAUCACAUUCACUGUCAUCCAGGGGCCUUCAAAAUCCAGGAUCCUCGGCCGGGCACAGUUACUCAUGCCUGUAAUCCCAGCACUUUGGGAGGUUGAGGUGGGUGGAUCCCUUAGUCCAGGAGUUCUAGACCAUCCUGGGCAACAUGGUGAAACCCCGUCUCUACAAAAAAUACAAAACUUAGCUGGGCAUGGUGGUGUGCACCUGUAGUCCCAGCUACUUGGGAGGCUUACUUGAGCCCAGGAGAUCAAAGUUGCAGUGAGUUGUGAUGGCACCACUGCACUCCAGGCUGGGAGACAAAGCAAGACCCUGUCUCAAAAAAACAAAAACUCAAAGUAUCCUCCAGCUUUACCUUCUCCUUCCUACCUCCAGCCCACCUGACUAUCAAGUGUUUCCAUCACCACAGCAUCUACAUUCCUUGACUAGAGCAUUCACCUUCCAAAGCCAGCUCAAGCAUCACCCAUUGAACAGCCCAAGUCAAGCACUUCCCCUUGGUGUCAAACAUUGACAACAGAAAUUUUUGUUAGUCCAUGGGCCAUCCAUCCUCCUACAUUAUUGACAUGGCCUUCCCUCCCCAUAAAACAAGUGAUUCUAGAUUUUAUAAAUGUUGAUAUAUUUGUGUAAGAAUAUAUAAAUGGUUAUUUAUGUGCUAAUAAUGUAUAUGGUGGUUUUGAAGUCUCAAAUCUCAAAAAUAUUACUUUUGGAUGGUAGGUUUACUAAUGUGUUAAUCUCUAAAAUUUCUACAGAGAAUUUGCAUCAUUUGUAUAAUUCAGGAAAAAAACAUAUAAUAGAAAAUGAAAAAUUCUGUUUCUAUUCCCUGUUGGUAGUUUAGUGCAUAGUUUUCUAAACUUUUUAGCAUGCUUAUAUGUAAUGUUUCAUUUUUAACAUUGAAAUAAUUUUAGAUGUACAGAAAUGUUGCAAGAAUAAUACACAAUUGGUCAGGUGCAGUGGCUUAUGCCUGUAAUCGCAGCACUUUGGGAGGUCAAGGCAGGUGGAUUGCUUGAGGCCAGGAGUUUGAGCUCAGCCUGGCCAACAUGGUGAGACCCCAUCUCUACAAAAAAUACAAAAUUUAGCCAGGUGUGGUGGCAUGCACCUGUAGUCCCAGCUACUUGGGAGGCUCAGGCUCAAUAAUUGUUUGAACCCAGGAGGCAGAGAUUGCAGUGAGCUGAGAUUGCACCACUGCCCUUCAACCUGGGCAACAGCGAGACUGUGUCUCAAAAAAAAAAUAAUAAUAAUACACAAAAGAUUUUUAAAUGGAUAAAUUUGACUACAUGAAAGUUUAAAACUUUUGUGCUUCAAGCAAUACCAACUAGAAAACAAAAAGACAACACACAGAAUGCGAGAAAAUGUUUGAAAUAAUAAUAUCUCAGUACAGUCUAAGAUGCAGAGUAUAUUAAGAACAUUUAGAACUCAAUAAAAAAGACAAAUAACCCAAUUAAAAACUGGGCAAAAGAUGUGAAUAGAAAUUUCUUCAAAGAAGAUACUCAACUGGACAAUAAGCACAUUUUAAAAAAAUCAGGCUGGGUGUGGUGGCUCAGGCCUGUAAUCUCAACACUUUGGGAAGCUGAGGUUGGAGGAUUGCUCGAGGCCAGGAGUUUGAGACCAGAUUGGGCAACAUAGCGAACCCCUGAUUCUACAGAAAAAUUUAAAAGUUAGCUGGAUGUGGUGGUGUGCAUCUGAGGGCACAGCUAUUCGGGAGGUUGAGGUAUGAUUAUUGCUUGAUUCCAGGAAUUUGAGGCUGCAGGGAGCUAUGAUUGAG